UACGGAGGAUGCAAGCGUUAUCCGGAUUCAUUGGGUUUAAAGGGUGCGUAGGCGGACUAUUAAGUCAGUGGUGAAAGCCUGCAGCUUAACUGCAGAACUGCCAUUGAUACUGAUAGUCUUGAGUUUGGUUAAGGUAGGCGGAAUGUGUAAUGUAGCGGUGAAAUGCUUAGAUAUUACACAGAACACCAAUUGCGUAGGCAGCUUACUGAGCCGACACUGACGCUGAGGCACGAAAGCGUGGGGAUCGAACAGGAUUAGAUACCCUGGUAGUCCACGCCGUAAACGAUGAUUACUCGCUGUUGGCGAUACACUGUCAGCGGCUAAGCAAAAGCAAUAAGUAAUCCACCUGGGGAGUACGGCCGCAAGGUUGAA
rnacentral:rRNA from 1 species